GAGAGAGGCCUGCGGCACAAGAGACUGCUAAUCCCUUCCCCCACAGUUAAAAUCUGUGGCUCACUCG
rnacentral:tRNA from 1 species